rnacentral:rRNA from 1 species
UACAGCGGUCUCGAGCGUUAGGCGGAAUCACUGGGCUUAAAGCGUGUGUAGGCGGAUUGCUAAGUACCUUGUGAAAUCCCACGGCUUAACCGUGGAACUGCUUGGUAUACUGGCUGUCUUGAGCCACUUAGGGGCAACCGGAACAAACGGUGGAGCGGUGAAAUGCGUAGAUAUCGUUUGGAACGCCAACGGUGAAAACAGGUUGCUGGGGGUGUGCUGACGCUGAGACACGAAAGCCAGGGGAGCGAACGGG